rnacentral:rRNA from 1 species
AGUCUGGCCUGCCCAUUGGGUUACUAAAAGGCCGCGGUAUAGUGCCCGUGCGAAGGUAGCAUAAUCAUUAGUCUUUUAAUUGAAGGCUUGUAUGAAUGGUUGGACGAGAAGUAAUCUGUCUCUGUUGAAAAAAUUGAAUUUAACUUUUAAGUGAGAAGGCUUAAAUGAUCUAGAGGGACGAUAAGACCCUAUAAAGUUUAAUAUUAUAACAAUAGAGAAUUAAUUAGGUUAUAAGAUUUAUUAUUGUAGGUAGUAUUUUGUUGGGGCGACAAGAAUAUAAAUAAUUUAACUGUUCUUUUUUAUAUCAAAAAUAUUUGGGUUGAUGAUCUUUUUAAGAGUAUUAGAGUAAAUUACUUUAGGGAUAACAGCGUAAUUUUUUUUGAGAGUUCUUAUCGACAGAAGAGUUUGCGACCUCGAUGUUGAAUUAAAGAUUCUUUAUAGCGCAGAAGUUAUAUAAGAAGGUCUGUUCGACCUUUAAAUCUUUACAUGAUUUGAGUUCAGACCGGUGUGAGCCAGGUUGGUUUC